rnacentral:lncRNA from 10 species
AAGCAGGGUCAGUUGAAGACCUGUACCAGUGUUACCAGGAAGUGCAGGAAUAUUCGGUUCUUAGUCUUACUUGGAGAAAGAAUUCUGCCAAGCAACUGAUUUAGCCUAAAAAGAGAAUGUAUUGAAGGAAAAUAGAAAGCAGAGAGUUUAUUUAGAGACAGUAUACUCUGAAAAGGUUAGGCAGAGUGGACUGCUGAAGGGAGUGGGCCUGCAGAAGCCUGAGAGUCCCGCUGGUGGGUUUUGAUGCUGUAGGAUUUUCUCUUGAGUUUCCUGCCUCUGUUUCAAGUCUCUACCCGUUUUCUGUCUUGAGUUUUCCCAUUCCUGCCUUAAGCCCCUCCUUCUCCCCCGCCUAGUUCCCACCCCAGCUUUGUGGAAUCCUUCUCUCCUAUUAGUUGGUGCACAUGCGUGGGCCCGGUGUUGGAUACAAAUUGCGCCUUGUAUCUCUUAGGAAUUUCUUCUUUGCCCUCUUCCCCUUAUCAGCAUGCAUCUAGCUACAUUCUGACAGGUUAACUGCAAGGUGAAUGAUUACUGAGCAUCUUAAGGGGCGUUUCUUUCUGCACUGGUAUUUUCCUUUUCUCAGGGGCUCCCCUCUCGGCUGUUGUUUGGCUAUCUGCAUACUCUAACACCAAGAGUUUAUUUUUUGAGGCACCCAAUAAUUCAGAGUAUCUGGUAAAGUUUUUUCUGCCAGGGUCUGAGUCAGUCCAUCUAUGUUGAAAAUACAAACUAUAGCCAGAAGCUAUAGCCUGUUCUUCAAGCAAGUAUUAGAGAGAAACAGAAACUUGUUUGAGAGUGAGACUGAGUAGCUGUGGUUAUUUUAAUCCAGUGACCAAUAACAUGAGUGUGGAGCACAUUACUAUUUCCUAAGAAGCUGAUAACUGUUUCCCUUGAGGGUAAAACCCUAUUAUGGAUUACUAAAGCAUUGAAAAAUCUCCAUGGGCUUCCCAUAAAGUGUGCAAUUUGUGAAACAUCUCUAUGAGCAGCACAUUUCCUAUACAAAUGUAACCUAGGAUAGACUGGGCAUCUUUUCUGAUUUGACUAUUCUUCCUAUACAGCUUUUAUAAUAAUGUUAAUCUAAUUAAGAAAUAUGGAGCACACCAAACAAAUCUAAUUAUUUUAGCAUACUUUUUUAUAAGGCACAAAAUAAAUUAUUGCAAAUUUCCAGGGGCUUUGUAUGAAAUUUCAAAAAUAACCUCAAGUGUGAAAAAAAUCCUGAAAUUUUACUUUAUUUUUUCUUAAUUUGAAAUCCAGCAUUGAUAAAGGCAAAACGUGUUUAAAAAUAUGGUAGUUUGAUUAAUAUUGGAUUAUGGAUCUCUGAGAAAUAACAUUUGGUUAUCUAUUUAGUCAAGGUGACAAUAAAAUAUUUUCAAAUGGAUAUAAAAGCACAUUAUGGAAAUUUAGCUCUUUGUAAGUGAGGAGAUAUUCUUCCUUUAACAGAGUACAUUACAAAGCCAACCAAAAACAGAGCUUAUUCUGAUGAGUUAUGGAAUAUAUUGGGUAGAUUACAUGGAGGGUAAAGCUCUGACAUCAAUUUUUUUAUCUUACCAAAGAGAUAGCCAUAUUCUAGUUUUACAUUAAUAUAUUUGGCAGUAAAAGUUUUGUAAGUUCCUUUUUUCUCCUUAAAUCAGCAUGUCCAUCAAAAUUGUAUGAACUUUGCCAAAUUUAACAAAUUUUACAGGUCCUUUACAGGCUUAAAAGUAUUAUAGUGGGGCUCAACGGAGCAGGCCUGUAGUCCCAGCUCCUGGAGAGGCUGAGACAAGAGGGUUGCAUGAUCCCAGGAGUUCUAGGCUGCAGUGUGCUAUUCCAAUCUGGUGUCCACACUAAGUUCAGCAUUAAUAUGGUGACCUUCCGGGAGCAGAGGACCAGCGAAUUGCCUAAGGAAGGGUGAGUUGGCCCAGGGUAGAAACAGAGCAGGUCAAAACUCCCAUGCUUGAAGUGGGAUUACUCCUAUGAAUGGCCACUGCAUUCCAGCCUGGACAAUAUAGCAAGACCUCAUCUCUUCAAAAAAAAAAAAAAAGUGUUAUAAACCAAAGCAGAUGAAUUUACCCCUUUCAAUCCUCUCGACAUUUGUCUUCUCCCUCUGCUCUGAUCUUUCACUAUGCUCUUUCAUGUUCUAGAACAGAGCGGCCCUUUAAAACAAAGGCACUCUCCUUUUUCUAUGAAAAAUAUAAUCAUAUACCCAGUUAUAGUUCUCCUAACAUAGCCUCAACCAUCCAAAUUAAUUAUAACUUUUAACUAAAGUAACAAUUCUGUUUUACAGAAAGAACCAAAAGGUAGUUAAUCUGUCGUUAACAGACAAGCAAAUCUCAUGCAUACUAAUAAUUUAGUACUUCACAACCACACACCUCUUUUUUAUCCCUUUCUUCUUCCUUACGUUAAUAAUGAAGCAAAAACGAACAUGUUCAUCAACAUACCGCAAAGACACGUCCACUCUAUAGAGUAUAGUAAAAUCAGAAGCAAAAGUUAAUAAACUUACAAUUAUGCUUAAUGAUCAAGGGUUCAGUAGUCUAUCUUAAUUGUAAAGUAUCCAGCUAUUCAAAGAUUAUUCAAAAAGUAACUCAAUUUAACAUUAGUACAAGUAGCUGAAUUACCUAAGGAUUCUGGAAAUCAUAUUUAAGUUAACACACUCUAAAACAUGACUACCAUUAUGAAAGUGUUUGUUGGAAUUAUUAUUAAAUUCAGUUUAACACAAAUUUGCAUUAUUCAUAAUCUUAAUCAGUACGUAGGAGUAAUGUUAACUCUUUUGUCAGGAAGCCAAUAUAACAAGGCUUGGAAGUUCAUCUGAACAUGUCUUUUCAUGAGAAAACAAACAGAACCCUUUUUUUAUUUUUUGAGUAUGCUUAUUUCACAUUCCGUCAUGAAUAACUCAAGAAAAAAAAACAAAAAGC